CCCUUAGAUGUUCUGGGCCGCACGCGCGCUACACUGAUGCAUUCAACGAGCCUAGCCUUGACCGAGAGGUCCGGGUAAUCUUUGAAACUGCAUCGUGAUGGGGCUAGAUUAUUGCAAUUAUUAAUCUUCAACGAGGAAUGCCUAGUAAGCGUGAUUCAUCAAACCGCGUUGAUUACGUCCCUGCCCUUUGUACACACCGCCCGUCGCUCCUACCGAUUGAGUGUGUUGGUGAGGAGUUCGGAUUGGCUCUUAGUGGUGGUUCGCCACCACCUAGAGCUGAGAAGUUCUCCAAACCGCCCCACUUAGAGGAAGGAGAAGUCGUAACA
rnacentral:rRNA from 1 species